rnacentral:rRNA from 1 species
UCGGGGUACUCGAGCGGCGAACGGGUGAGUAACACGUGAGCAACCUGCCCUAGGCUUUGGGAUAACCCUCGGAAACGGGGGCUAAUACCGGAUAUUACUGCUGGACGCAUGUUUGGUGGUGGAAAGUUUUUCGGCCUGGGAUGGGCUCGCGGCCUAUCAGCUUGUUGGUGGGGUGAUGGCCUACCAAGGCGACGACGGGUAGCCGGCCUGAGAGGGCGACCGGCCACACUGGGACUGAGACACGGCCCAGACUCCUACGGGAGGCAGCAGUGGGGAAUAUUGCACAAUGGGCGGAAGCCUGAUGCAGCGACGCCGCGUGAGGGAUGACGGCCUUCGGGUUGUAAACCUCUUUCAGCAGGGACGAAGCGCAAGUGACGGUACCUGCAGAAGAAGCGCCGGCCAACUACGUGCCAGCAGCCGCGGUAAGACGUAGGGCGCGAGCGUUGUCCGGAUUUAUUGGGCGUAAAGAGCUCGUAGGCGGCUUGUCGCGUCGACUGUGAAAACCCGUGGCUCAACUGCGGGCCUGCAGUCGAUACGGGCAGGCUAGAGUUCGGUAGGGGAGACUGGAAUUCCUGGUGUAGCGGUGAAAUGCGCAGAUAUCAGGAGGAACACCGGUGGCGAAGGCGGGUCUCUGGGCCGAUACUGACGCUGAGGAGCGAAAGCGUGGGGAGCGAACAGGAUUAGAUACCCUGGUAGUCCACGCUGUAAACGUUGGGCGCUAGGUGUGGGGGGCCUCUCCGGUUCUCUGUGCCGCAGC